rnacentral:rRNA from 1 species
AGGGGUACAGGAGUAGCAAUACUGCUGACGACGGCGCACGGGUGAGUAACGCGUAUGCAACCUACCUUCGACUGGAGAAUAGCCCGAAGAAAUUCGGAUUAAUGCUCCAUGAGACCACAAUACCGCAUGAUAUAGUGGUAAAAGCUCCGGCGGUCAAAGAUGGGCAUGCGUGCCAUUAGUUAGUUGGUGAGGUUACGGCUCACCAAGACAACGAUGGCUAGGGGGUCUGAGAGGAUGAUCCCCCACACUGGUACUGAGACACGGACCAGACUCCUACGGGAGGCAGCAGUGAGGAAUAUUGGUCAAUGGACGCAAGUCUGAACCAGCCAUGCCGCGUGCAGGAUGAAUGCCCUAUGGGUUGUAAACUGCUUGUCUACAAGAAGAAACUUCCUGAUGUAUCAGGAACUGACGGUAUUGUAGGAGUAAGCAUGGGUUAAACUUCGGUGCCAGCAGCAGGGGUAAUACGGAGGAUGCAAGCGUUAUCCGGAUUCAUGGGGUUAAAGGGGUGCGUAGGCGGGGUAGUAAGUCAAUGGUUAAAGCGUGCGGCUUAACCCGUAGAAUUGCCAUUGAUACUGCUACUCAUGAGUGCAGUUGAGUAGGGCGGAAAGUGUACGUAGCGGUGAAACGCUUAAGAGAGUACACAGAACACCGAUUGCGUAGGCAGCUUACUAAACUGUAAACUGACGCUGAGGCACGAAAGCGUGGGGAGCGAACAGGAUUAGAUACCCUGGUAGUCCACGCUGUAAACUAUGAUCACUCGCUGUUGGCGAUACAUUGUCAGCGGCUGAGCGAAAGCAUUAAGUGAUCCACCUGGGGAGUACGGCCGCAAGGUUGAAACUCAAAGGAAUUGACGGGGGCCCGCACAAGCGGUGGAACAUGUGGUUUAAUUCGAUGAUACGCGAGGAACCUUACCUGGGCUUAAAUGCAGAACGACGUACCGGGAAACUGGUACUCCCUUCGGGGCGGACUGCAAGGUGCUGCAUGGUUGUCGUCAGCUCGUGCCGUGAGGUGUCGGGUUAAGUCCCAUAACGAGCGCAACCCUCAUUGUUAGUUGCCAGCGAGUAAUGUCGGGGACUCUAACGAAACUGCCGGUGUAAACCGUGAGGAAGGUGGGGAUGACGUCAAAUCAGCACGGCCCUUACGUCCAGGGCUACACACGUGUUACAAUGGCCAGUACAAAGGGCAGCUACCACGCGAGUGGAUGCUAAUCUCUAAAGCUGGUCUCAGUUCGGAUUGAAGUCUGCAACUCGACUUCAUGAAGCUGGAAUCGCUAGUAAUCGCGCAUCAGCCAUGGCGCGGUGAAUACGUUCCCGGGCAUUGUACACACCGCCCGUCAAGCCACGGA